rnacentral:rRNA from 1 species
ACAGGUGGUGCAUGGUUGUCGUCAGCUCGUGUCGUGAGAUGUUGGGUUAAGUCCCGCAACGAGCGCAACCCUUGAUUUUAGUUGCCAGCAUUUAGUUGGGCACUCUAAAGUGACUGCCGGUGCAAGCCGGAGGAAGGUGGGGAUGACGUCAAAUCAUCAUGCCCCUUAUGACCUGGGCUACACACGUGCUACAAUGGAUAGUACAAAGGGUCGCGAAGCCGCGAGGUGGAGCUAAUCCCAUAAAACUAUUCUCAGUUCGGAUUGUAGGCUGCAACUCGCCUACAUGAAGCCGGAAUCGCUAGUAAUCGUGGAUCAGCA